UCCGGUUUGUCACCGGCAGUCUGGCGUGAGUCCCCAACUAAAUGAUGGCAACACGCCACAGGGGUUGCGCUCGUUGCGGGACUUAACCCAACAUCUCACGACACGAGCUGACGACAACCAUGCACCACCUGUGUACCGCCCCGAAGGACACCGUAUCUCUACGGCUUUUCGGUACAUGUCAAGCCCUGGUAAGGUUCUUCGCGUUGCAUCGAAUUAAACCACAUGCUCCGCUGCUUGUGCGGGCCCCCGUCAAUUCCUUUGAGUUUCAGUCUUGCGACCGUACUCCCCAGGCGGGGCACUUAAUGCGUUAGCUACGGCGCGGAAAACGUGGAAUGUCCCCCACACCUAGUGCCCAACGUUUACGGCAUGGACUAC
rnacentral:misc_RNA from 1 species